GGGGCACCGCCCGCCCGACCGCCCGCCUGGCCCGCGGCGGAAGAGGCAGCGGCGGAGGCGGCGGCAGCGGCGGCCUCGGCCG
rnacentral:miRNA from 1 species